rnacentral:rRNA from 1 species
AUGGAACUGCUGGGAGGGGGGAAUACCUGGACAGUUCAUGAAUUAGCGACUAUAUGUAAGUCCCAUUCCCCCAAUAUGGUGUUUGUGUGUGAGACUAGGCAAAAGGUGGAAAAGAUGAGAAGAAUACGUGGAAGGUUAGGUUUGAAGGGUUUUGCAGGAGUUGAUAGUAAUGGAAUGACUGGAGGUUUGGCUUUGUUCUGGCAUGCGGCUUACAUUGUUGAAAUUCUGGACAUGGAGGAACGUUUUAUUGAUGCUCUAGAGAGAGUACAUGAAGGUGCUGAACAGUGGAGGAUUACUUGUGUGUAUGGAGAACCGCGAGUUGAAAAUAGGCAUCUCAUGUGGGAGAAGUUGCAGAGGCUGAAGAAUACUAAUGAUCUGCCAUGGUUGGCAGUCGGUGAUUUCAAUGAGGCAAUGUGGGACUUUGAACACCUAUCGGCUACACCACGAGCGGAGGCACAUAUGAUCGCUUUCAGUGACACGUUGGAGAUUUGUGGUCUAGUGGACCUGGGUUUUGUUGGACCGCCGUUCACAUAUGAUAACAAGAGAGGGGGCGCUGGCAAUGUGAAAGUCCGCUUGGAUAGGGCGGUAGCCAGGAAUGCUUGGAGGAAUAGGUAUGUGUUUUCCUCUGUACUACACGUUCCGUAUCCAUGCUAG